rnacentral:rRNA from 1 species
CCUACGGGAGGCAGCAGUGGGGGAUAUUGCACAAUGGGGGAAACCCUGAUGCAGCGACGCCGCGUGGGUGAAGAAGCGCCUCGGCGCGUAAAGCUCUGUCAGCAGGGAAGAAAAUGACGGUACCUGAAGAAGAAGCCCCGGCUAACUACGUGCCAGCAGCCGCGGUAAUACGUAGGGGGCAAGCGUUAUCCGGAUUUACUGGGUGUAAAGGGGGCGCAGACGGCGGUGCAAGUCAGGAGUGAAAGCCCGGGGCCCAACCCAGGGACUGCUCUUGGAACUGCGUGGCUAGAGUGCAGGAGGGGCAGGCGGAAUUCCUGGUGUAGCGGUGAAAUGCGUAGAUAUCAGGAGGAACACCGGUGGCGAAGGCGGCCUGCUGGGCUGCAACUGACGUUGAGGCCCGAAAGCGUGGGGAGCAAACAGGAUUAGAUACCCGGGUAGUC